AGAAUUUUCCAUCAUCUUGUCACCUUGCAGGACUUGCUGUGAAUGAAGGAAAGCCUGGAUUCUAGAGGAUCAGUAAGGUUGUCCUCAUGUUCUCUACAGAAUUUUCUGAGACUCCUCAGUGGAUGUUGGUUGGAUGAUGUAGAGGUUGAACCUUCCUGCUAAUAUUCCAUGACGUUCUGUUGCUGGAUGACAGAGGGGUAAUUUGACCAAACGGCGUCUGACAUGGAAGUAUGUGUGAAGCAAAGGUGUGGAACUGAACUCCUUUGUGCAGAAAAAAUGUCACCCAUUGACAUUCAUCAGCACUUAUGAACGUUUUUGGAGGUGAAACAGCGGAUGUGAGCACACUGAGGUGGUGGAUAGUGUGACAGUGACUAUGGGUCACCUCCUCUGGUGCAGGUUUUUACGAGUGCAGCCAGCAGGCUCUUGUUCAUUGCUGAUGAAAGUGCAUAGCUAAUGGCGGUGACUGUGUUGAAAAAGUGUUUUGUAGAUGAGAAUUUGCUCUAUCAAACAGUUACUGUGCUCAUUGUAUCUGGUGUACUUUCCAUGGAGUUAAAUAGGCGGCAUUGCUUUCAGCACAAUGUAUGUGUAAGCAGCCCAAGACAAUUCCUCAUCACUCAGUGCAUCCCAGGCAACCAAAAGGUUGGACUCUCAUGGGCUAGGUAAUAAAAACUUAGGUGUUAAAAUGACCUCCUGACAAAAAGAAAAAAACAGUUUGGUUAAUUUGUGCUCUCUCCUAGAGAUCUAUGCUCUGUGCUCUAGGUAAAAAUAUAGGAUUUUGGAAAUAUAGAAACUGAUUUUGUGUCCUUUCUAAUGCAAUGCCUUAAACAGUUACUCCCUGGAGUGCCUAUUUUUGUCCUAUCUUCAUAUGGCUUAGCUGUACUUCUGCCACCUUGGACAACAAAACACAAGGAGGAUCAGAAAUAGAAAACUGGCAUGUUUUUGCUUCAGGGACAUCAUAGCAGCAGGUGUUCUGUGAGAAUUCAGUGAGUCUGUCUACUGAAACUAAGGGAAAAUGGGACUGCUGGAGGCCAGACACCUCUGGUGAGAGAAGUUGUCACGAUGUAUUUGGAAAAUUGCUUCUUGGAAAUUUGGGUAUGUUUGAUAGAAAUAAUAUUGGUGUUAGAAUAUACAUGUGGACCAACCUUGUAAGAAAUGCAUCACACAUGAAAUGAACCUGAAAUUUUAGUUUUUUAGAAUGAGUAAUAUUUAAAAUUCAGCAAAUCCAUUACACAAACAUUGCUUUCAUACUAACAAUCAGCAUUCACAUAGGUGACUCAAAUUUGUGUUCAUGAAGAACAAUAAAUAACCAUCCUGCUACCUGUAAGGGAGAAAAAUAUUUAAAGAAAAAUCAGCUAUUAAUGAAAUAUAGAAAGGGGUGUACUGUAGUAUUAUCAACUUUAUUUAGCAACUCAUGUUAUUAGAGAUACUGUAUGUCACCUUUAUACACUGCAUGAUUAGCAUAGAGUAAACACCCACUUCAGCCCUUAUUUUCUGUUUCCUUUAUACGUAGUUUUUUAUCAGUCACAGCCAUCAUCUGUCAUAUUUCUAUGGAAAAUGUAUGGUGAUUUUUGAUUACCUAGUGGUUUAAAUAAACUAUGAGGCUUUUAGCAAGGCUCCUACCCUGCAUCACUGCAAGGAUUGCCGGAGAUAUGCUACAUUCUAGAGGAAUACAUUCCUUGUUUGCCUUAUUUUCAGCACAGAGAUUGUCCAGCACUCAUUGUGGAAAUGGGCCUAAGUGCCCACUAUUCCAAACUCUGUCACACUGUCAGCUAUCAAUGUUCUUUCCCUGUGGUUCUGUCUCUGUUCCUGCUCUCACCUAGCUGGCAGGCAGGAAAUGCAUGCACUGCUUUACUACUGCAGCCUUUGCACCACAGGUGUGGUCAGCCAGCUUCUGCCUGCUUGUAGGCAGAGCUGUACUUGCACACCUGGACAUAAACACUAGAAGCAUGCCGUUAACUGAUACACAUGAAAUGCAAGUCACGCAAAUAAUGGAAUGUUUUUUUUCUAACCUAAAGCAUCUAAGAAUGCUUUUUUUCUGUGGUGCACAGAAGCCCGUGUGGCUUGUAGUACAUACUAGCACAUAAUUCAAAGAAAAUAAUUCCCUGGAUUCUUCCCCUUUCUGUUUACUAUUACUAUAUGGAUAAUAUAAAGUACAGCAUAGUGAUUGAAAAGAUGAGUAAUUUUUGUCCAUUGAAUGUAAUUACAGAAGUCUACAAAAUAUUUUUGUCAAUGAAUAACUGGUAACAUGAGAUGUUAAAAAGAUUUCAUUUAAAAUGUAUUUAAAUUCAGCCUGCUCAAGUGUUAAGUAUCCCUGAUUUCUAAUAUGCAUGACUUGGCUGACUCU
ensembl:lncRNA